rnacentral:rRNA from 1 species
AGUGAACGCUGGCGGCGUGCUUAACACAUGCAAGUCGAACGAGUAAGUGCUGUAGCAAUACAGAUUACUGCUAGUGGCAGACGGGUGAGUAAUACAUGGGAAUCUGCCUUGGAGCAGGGGAUAACAGUUGGAAACGAUUGCUAAUACCCUAUAUUGCCUAAGGGUGAAAGAUUUAUCACUCCAAGAUGAGCCCAUGCGAGAUUAGCUAGUUGGUAGGGUAAUGGCCUACCAAGGCAACGAUCUCUAGUUGGUCUAAGAGGAUGAUCAACCACACUGGGACUGAGACACGGCCCAGACUCCUAUGGGAGGCAGCAGUGGGGAAUAUUGGACAAUGGGCGAAAGCCUGAUCCAGCGACGCCGCGUGGAUGAUGAAGGCCUUAGGGUUGUAAGGUCCUUUCAGCAGGGAAGAUAAUGACGGUACCUGCAGAAGGAGCUCCGGCUAACUUCGUGCCAGCAGCCGCAGUAACAC